GCAAGUGUGUGCCAUGCUCAGUUCAAAAUUGAACAAUACAGAGAAAACCAGCAAAGUCCCUGUGCAAGGAUGACACGUAAAUUCCUGAAGCAUACUUUAAGAGU
rnacentral:snRNA from 1 species